UACGGGGGGGGCAAGCGUUGUUCGGAAUUACUGGGCGUAAAGGGCGCGUAGGCGGCAUGGCAAGUCAGGAGUGAAAGGCCUGGGCUCAACCGAGGAACUGCUUUUGAUACUGCCAAGCUAGAGUGCGGAAGGGGCAACUGGAAUUCCCAGUGUAGCGGUGAAAUGCGUAGAUAUUGGGAAGAACACCUGAGGCGAAGGCGGGUUGCUGGGCCGACACUGACGCUGAGGCGCGAAAGCCAGGGGAGCAAACGGG
rnacentral:rRNA from 1 species